UGGGGAAUAUUGCACAAUGGGCGAAAGCCUGAUGCAGCAACGCCGCGUGAGUGAUGAAGGUCUUCGGAUUGUAAAGCUCUGUCUUUUGGGACGAUAAUGACGGUACCAAAGGAGGAAGCCACGGCUAACUACGUGCCAGCAGCCGCGGUAAUACGUAGGUGGCGAGCGUUGUCCGGAUUUACUGGGCGUAAAGGGUGCGUAGGCGGAUGUUUAAGUGAGAUGUGAAAUACCCGGGCUUAACUUGGGUGCUGCAUUUCAAACUGGAUAUCUAGAGUGCAGGAGAGGAGAAUGGAAUUCCUAGUGUAGCGGUGAAAUGCGUAGAGAUUAGGAAGAACACCAGUGGCGAAGGCGAUUCUCUGGACUGUAACUGACGCUGAGGCACGAAAGCGUGGGUAGCAAACAGGAUUAGAUACCCUGGUAGUCCACGCCGUAAACGAUGAGUACUAGGUGUAGGAGGUAUCGACCCCUUCUGUACCGCAGUAAACACAUUAAGUACUCCGCCCUGGGAAGUACGAUCGCA
rnacentral:rRNA from 1 species